GUUCCCAGCUGCCAUUUGGCACUUCUUGGGUUUAAACAUGAGUGUCAGUGACUCAGACUCCUACAGGGAUAGAGUUUUGAAGGACAGCAGCUCUGAGGCAAGGACUCUCCCAGGAACUGUUGGAAGUUCAACAUGCCUACUAUAAACUGAACAAGCAAUAUCAGGCAAGAAGGGCAGAGCUGACUCAUGCAAACAACCAAGUGGACCAAAAUGAGGAAGAAGUAAAGAAACUGAGAUUUCAAGUAGAAGAACUAAAACGGGGACUCAACCAGAAGGAAGAUGAGCUUGAUGAUUCCCUGAAACAAAUCCAUAAGCUCCAGACAUCUCUGGGUGAACAGAAAGAAAUAAAUGAAAACUUGGAGACUGAACUCAAACACUUACAAAGCCGUGUUUACCGGUUCUCCAUGAAGACUGAAUUUGGAAUUUGAAGUUAUGAGAUAUAUCCCAAAUCCCACAUUCUGAGGUUCCAUAAUAGAACAGCAACAAAGAUGUCUGUUUAAAGUUAAAUUAAGUACCGAAAACACCUGUGGAGAUUCCAUGAAAACAGAAAAUGAAGAAGAGGCUAGACUGACUAAGGAAAAAAAGACAGAAUACUCAAAAUAUUAAACUCAGAAGAGAAAAUGGGGGCAUUACUACCGAACAUACAGAAAUAAAAAUUAUAAGAGAAUAUUAUGAACAAAUGGAUGUCAACAAAUUAGAUAAUCUAGAUGAAAUGGACUAAUUCCCAAAACACAUAAACUACCAAAACUACUCAAUAAGAAAUAGGAAAUGUUGCAUAGACCUAUUAUAAGAGAUUGACUAAGUAAUCAAAAACCCCCUGAUAACAAAAAACAGGACCAGAUGGUUUCAGAGAUGAAUUCUAUCAAACAUUUAAAGAACAAUUAACACCAAUUCUUCUCAAAUUCUUCCAAAAUAUAGAAGAUGAGGGAACACUUCCUAACUCAUUCUACGAGGCCAACAUUACCCUGAUAUCAAAGCCAGACAAAGGUACCACAAGAAAUCUACUGAUCAAUAUCCCCUAUAAAUAUAGAUGCAAAAAUCCUCAACAAAAUACUAGCAAAGAGUAUUCAGCAACACAUUAAGCAGAUUACAUACCAUGAUCAAGUGGGGUUUGUCCCCAAAUGCAAGUGUGGUUCAACAUAAAAAAUGAAUCAGUGUAAUAACACACCCCGUAAUAGAAUAAAGGAAAGUAAACAAACAGACCACGUGAUCAUCUCACGUGAUGUAUAAAAUGUGUUUGACGAAAUCCAACAAACUUUCAUGAUUAAAAAAAUGCUUAACAAACUAGGAAUAGAAGGAAACUUCAUCAACCUCAUAGAGGACAUUUAUGAAAAACCCACAGGUAACUUUUUUUUAACAUCAUAUUCAAUGAUGAAAACCUGAAAGUAUUUCCCAUAGCAUUGAGGAACAAGACAAGAAUGCCUGCUUUGACCACUCCUAGUCAACAUUGUGCUGGAUGUUUUAGACAGAGCCAUUAGGCAAGGAAAAGAAAGAAAAGACAUCCACAUCAGAAAGGAAAAAGGAAAGUGGUUUCUAUUCACAGAUAGCAUGAUUUUAUAUACAGAAAAAUCAAAAGAAUCCACAUAAAAACUAUCAGAGUUAAUGAACAUACUCAGCAAUGUUACAGGAUACAAUAUCACUAGAUAAAAAUCAGUUGUAUUUCUAUACACUAGCAAUAAACAAUCAGAAAGGGAAACUAAGAAAACCGUUCCAUUUACAGUACCAUCCAAAAAAAUAAAAUACUUGGAAAUAAAUUCAACCAAGGAGAUGGAAGACUUGUAUAUUGAAAACUAUAAAACCUUGCUGAAACAAAGUAAAGAAAACCUAAUAUUAAUGAAAAGAGAUACCACAUUCAUAAAUUGGAAGACUUAAUAUUGUUAAAAUGUCAAUAUUACCCAAAUUGAUCUACAGAUUUAAUGCAAUCCUUAUUAAAAUUCCAAUGACCUUAAAAUAAAUUUUAUUUAUUUUAUUAUUAGUUACAAUAUGAUAGAUUUGACUCUCUUCUAUCUCAUUGCCUUUUUUUUCCCCACCACUGGUAUUUCAACUAUUUAAAAUCGUGUAUGUAGAAUUAUGAGUCAAAUUACAUAUGAAAAUGUGUGCUUGCUUAUUAACGUAUGAAUAUAGACAUUACUUUACUCACUCAUUCAUUAAGUUAUUAUUUAAGUAUCCAUAUGCCAGUCUUUGCAUAUAUUUUCUUUUUUUUUUUCCCUGCUACUAGAACAGCGAAAUUUGGCAGCCAGAGGAUAGAUGUGGGAUCAUUUCCCAGCUAUGCCUUAUAUUUUUUGUGACUUAGGAAAAUUUAUUUAACAUCUCUGAGCCUCUGAUUCUUUGGAUUUAACUUGGCAAUAAUAUUAUCACAUUUUACAGUGGUAAAGACAACUAAAUUAAAUACUGUAAAUGAUAAUAUUUGACACACAGUGAGUGGUCAAUAAAAGUUUAUUUUCCCCUGACUCUACCACAUGUAGCUCUCUUCUAUUUGGGAUUUGUUGUUGUUGUUCUUUAUUCACCGACUGUGAUUCUGCAUCUCUCAGUACUUAUAUCAUCCAGAGAGUAUUUAGAUGGAUACAUUUAUUUUUUGAAACCCGCCGGUAAUGUGUUCUAUGCCACAGACUAAUUUUUGACCUUUGUAAUGUAACCAGGUUAAUUGCUAGUUAAUGAAAACCAUUUAUUUUGUCUACAAUAAGCGUCUCAGCAGGAAUAACCUACCUAAUUAAUAGUGACAUGUUAUGUGAACCUCAUCUGGCAUUUUGCACCUAAUUCAAAACAAUUUAAGAGAUUAAUAAUCCAUCACCUAUUUGAAUAUGUCACUGUCAGCAAUGAUAAUUCUUGGUAAAGAAUAUUUCAUCCUGUUUUUUCAAAGAAAUUUCAUUUCCUCAUAGUGAAAAUAAGUCAAGAAAUGCUUCUUUUCUCAAGAGUAGAUAUGAAAAUCCUUGUUUAAAACCAUGUUCUAGCCCUCAGUGGUACUCCUCUCAACAUUUUAAAUACUUAUACCUAAUUAUCAAUUGAAUUAUUUUCCAAAUGGACAUACAAAACAUGUUUUAAAGGGAAGAAAAACAGUCUAAUGACUUUUCUAGAGAAAAGAUAGUCAUUAAGGCCAUGUGACCUUAUAAAGAUCUGUCAAGUCAAAAGAUUUCAUGUACAAAAUCAUUAAAAACUGAAACUAAAAGAAACAAAAAACAAAUCCGUUGCCCUCAAGUUGAUUCUGAAUCAUAGGUGACUCUAACUUACAGCCACCCGAUAGAGUAGAACUGCCCCAUAGGGUUUCCAAGGACCUUUUGGUUAGCAGCCGAGCUCUGAACCGCUACUAAACCAGGUAUCCAAAAACUGAAGCUAGGGAAUAAUUAUUUUAUUUUUAAAAUUGUGGAUGGAGGAUGGGACCAUAUAUGUUAGAGAAGUCAGGUAAAAUGAAAGCCUUUUAUCUGCAAACAUUUCAACUUUUAAUCACAGGCAGACGGCUUUGUAACUUCAUCUUGUUAGGAAUCUCACCAACUAGAGAGUUAUUAGGCUUAAGAAGUGAUAUAUUUCAAAAGUUCUGAAAACCAUGUCAACCAGUACUCCUUAGUGAGUUGUUUAUUCAUAUUAAUUUUGCCUUAAUAGUUUCAGUUUUGUAAAUGUUUGAUAGGAAUAAGUAAAGGGAUAAAAUUUGGGGCUUUAGGGAUGCUAAUAAGACCACUUAUGAAACCACCAUAGUUAUAAAAAUCACCAUAGUUAUAAAAUCAUCAAAAUGAUUAUUUCAUUUUCCACUCUAUGGUAGGUUAGAUUACACACCUAUAGCAAUUCAUGGAAACAGGAGAAUUUCUACAGAAAAUCUUGAUAAAACUAGAAUCCCUUGAUAAAGGAAAAAAUGGGAAUGGGAUGGUGAAGAGGGUAGAAGUAACCACAAGUUUUUAUUUUAUUACUGUAACUUAUAAAUUGCUCUUAACCACUCUCCGCACCUUCUCACUCACCUAAAGUUAAAACUGAGAGAUGAAGGCAGGGUUCCAAUCAGAUUUCUCAUACUAUAGCUAAAGGUAAUUCAUCACUAUAAAAUUCACUCUAAGUAAACAGCAAACCGAAACUAUAUUUUCUGUAUAAACACUCCUCUUCAUGUAUUGAAAUGAUAUUUUUUUCAUUAAUCUACAUGGUAGCAAAUUGCACUAAUUAAUUUUGAAUAAAAAUUUUUAAGCCCAACUUGGUUAUGGCGAAUUAUGCUUCUUACAUUGUUCUUUUUUCUUCCUAAUAUUUUGCUUAGAAUUUUUGUAUGAAU